UCGUAUCUCUGGCGCGUGCGGGUGCGCCCUGCUCCGGUCCCUCGGGCCGUGCAGCGGGCCGUUUGCCGCGUCCAACCUUCACAAACCCACUGUGCACCAUUCACGGCGGAGGGCUGCUGGCGAAAGCCGGCGUCCGAAGUCGCAUAUAACAAACCCCUAAAAGUUCAAAAGAAUGAAACGCGACCUCGUUGUCGCCUAAACACAUAA
rnacentral:misc_RNA from 1 species